rnacentral:lncRNA from 1 species
UAAUGCACAAGGAAGCAGGAAAACUAGUGUUGACUACAAUGGCUGAGGACAAACAGAUAUAGUAGUAGUUCACAGGAAGUGCCUUGCACUACUUGGACCAUUUGUGAUGAACAACUUCAUAUAUGUGCGGAAGAACGGGAAUGGUAACUUGUACAUUAAGUCACCAUCAGACCUUCCCCGUAAGUAUGGACAUAGACAGCCACCAUUAUUAUACUUCUCCAAUAUGAGGCUCUGUUCAAGAUUCUGGACUAUAAAUUCAUCCAGAAGCAUAUCGAUUUCCUGUAUAGCUUUGACCAUUCAAUUCUAUAGUUAUCAAAAUCAGAUCAGAUAGAUUGAUUUAAAUGAAAAAAGAAAAAACUAGAGGGGAUACUAAUUGAAUCGGAAAAGUCAAAGAACUAAUGUUGAGCCAAUUGAAUCUGUCAUGUCGAUCAAGAUUACCCAAAAAUGACAAGAAAAAAAAGUGUUUUUCAGACAGCUUUCGGAAAGAUAAUCUGUCCUUUAAAGAGUUUAUAAUGAAAAGAGAAAAAAACAUCUAAAAGAAAGUCUACGAGACUUUAGAAUAAAGCUCUAUGUUAUUGUCUAUAUUUGAAGCCACAAUUAUUGAUGUUUUGAUUUUUUUUAUAUAAUUGUACUUUUUUCUAUUUUUAUUUUUAAAUAAACAAGUGUUCCUCCAAGAUUGGCAAAUGCCUCUCUGCAGAUUGACUUUGCAACCACUGUUUGGUUGCCAGUUUGAAUCAGUCACUUAAGCUAUUCCUUUCACCAAGACCCAGUCCACUGGUAGAAGAUCCAUGUCAGGACAGUAGACCAUUUACCAAAUGCUUAUGACCAUUGAGCUCAUCAUGAGAUCAACAGUCUAUUUUAACCUAACACUACAAGCCUGAAGACACUAAGAAUGACAGGAUAAAUCAGUCUUGAUAUAGAACGUGCAGAGAAAUAGAGAAAAUGGAGAAGAACCAACUCUUCUCCAUGCCUUCUUUUGUUUACUCCCCUCUUCAAGAAUAAGAAGAUUCAAGAGAGAGGGGGACUUUGAGUGUUUCUUUCUUUCUUUCUUUUUGUAUCUUUGGUUGCUUCUUUACUCCCCUGCACUCCUUAUGUUAGCAUCCAAACAGACUAGCAACAAUGCAUUUCAUUUUCUUUACAUGGGGCCUAUGCUUUCUUGGCCCCCUGCAUGAGCAAAGAGCCAUGCUAUUUUCUAUGCCCUUAUUAUAGUCACUAUGCAGUAGGGCUUAGGUUUAUCAUUGAAUAUGAACUGCAUUUGUUGUUAGCUCGGACCUUGUCCGCGAGCCUGGUUGUCUGUAUCCAGCUUUUGAGAGGAAUAAUGUGAGAGAAUCAUCACGAUAAAACUAAACCAAACCAUUGAAAAACUCAAGUAGAUGCUCCCAAAUAACAUAAUGCUUCAUAAGCUAGUCAUACCUACUGAUACAUAAAAAGAAUGGAGAAACUGACUUGUCCUUGUAGAUCAGCCAGCCAUAAUCCCAGAAGACUAUGAAAAUUGGAUCAAGAAGAGAAGAAAAACAAUGUCAGCGGUAUCCAAAUCUCUCUACAAAGUUAAAGGUCCCAAUCAGCAAUAACAUGAUAAAAUCCAUAGACAGUUUCAUGAAUGAUAAAUGUCCAUGAUCUGCGAUCAUUCUUAGUUGAUGGGAAGGAAAUAGCAAGCAUCUGCUUUCAUUUCAAUGGGGACUGUCAUUGGACCCCUCAUAUCCUGUCCAUGGCUAUAUGGAAUUUUUAGGUGUUGAUUGAGCAGAAAAUGAUAUGACAGAAAGGAAGUUAGACUUUAACUUGCUUAGCCCAGAUUGAUUUUGCUGUGAUCCGGAGAGAUGGAUGGUCUGUCGACUAAGUGGCACCAACUUUUGCCUGUAUCGAUUUGCUUCUUUGGGCACCACGGCUCACGUUUGCUCUAUGAUUAUUUACUAUAAUCUUCAUUUUCCUGAAUGUUACAUGAAAAUGCAACUCUGUUACCAAACUCCUGUCAUAUAGUGCUCUUCCAAAAUCAAUAUAAUCCUUUUCUUAUGCUAUGGUUGACUAAAUUGUCAUUUUGCAAUUAGAUCUGUGCUUGUCUACUUCAUCAUUGCAUUUGCAUUCUCCGCAAUAUCCAUCUUAAAAUUAGUUUUGUUUAGCUCUUGAUGUUUGAAAUAGAUGGUGUUCCUUUGGCUUGCUUCUUUACUCAUGUCUGCUGUUUUGGUUAUUUAAUGACAGAUAUAUUAAUCUCUCAACACCUAACACUAAGUUUAUUAAGCCUAUUUGUUGAUAUUACCAGACUUGUAACAAUUUCUCUUUUCAAAUGUUGCAAAGUGUGUCAGUAUUGCUCAUCAAUAUGUUCCACAUACUGACUCUUUUCUUGAAUGGUUUAGACUAGCACUUAAUAGGGUUGUGCCAAAUAUGUUUGCAUUUGCUUCAUCACCCAGUGUUUCAGUUCUUUUUUAUUUACAUAUCCCUGUCAAUUUUAAAUCUACACAAUACAUUUAGUUCUAUGAUCUGUGAUGGCUGAUCACCAUAUGAUCUCAGAUGGUCAGACCUAUUGUUGUUGUAAGUCCUCGGCUUAAAUGAUUCUAUAUUAAGAAUAACUAGUCUUAAUAAUGAACACCAGUUACGGAAAUCACAAAGUUAAGUAGAGCUCAACUCCAUACACGGGUUCAUCCCAUAGUAUAGAAGGCUUUAAGACAAUAAGCAUAAGGCAAGUCAUCAAUGUCAUGUAAAAUGAGGUUGAGGCUCAUAUAUAUAAUUAUCUUAAGGUAUUUUGGUAUUGCUUAAAGCCAUAAACCAUAAAACAGUUACCUAAAGUGUUGGAGGAAUUAUAUUGAGGAUUUGUAAUGGACACAGAAGUUACAUGUAUGGUGUUGUGUUUUCAUGAUUGGAACUGUAUCACGAAACAGUAAACCUCUGACCUCCCAUAUAUUAGUGUAAGAAGUUAAACCAGGAUUAGGUCUUGUAUCAUACAAUAAAACCAUUUCUUUGGCAUCAUCAAGAGACCUUUAUUUUGCAUAAAAUAUUCUGUAUUGUCCUGUGGCCUAGGUAAGUAUGGGCUAGGCCUUUAAUCAUGCAGAUCAUGGACAUUUAUCAUUCAUGAAACAGUCUAUGGAUUUUAUCAUGUUAUUGCUGAUUGAGACCUUCAAAUUUGUAGAGAGAUUUGGAUACUGCUUGCAUUGUUUUUCUUCGCUUCUUGAUCCAAUUUUCAUGGUCUUCUGGGAUUAUGGCUGGCUGAUCUACAAGGACAAGGCAGUUCUCCAUUCUUUUUGUUCUGCUCAAUCAAUACCUCAAAAUUCCAUAUAGCCAAGGAAAGGAUAUGAGGGUCCAAUUACAGUCCCAAUAGAAAUGAAAUCAGAUACUUCCUAUUUCCUUCCCAUCAACUAAGAACGAUCUAAGAAGCAUCAUUCCAGAAUUAAUUGUUCGUCAGUCUACUAGUCCUUUGUGCAACAGAAACAAGAAAGGAGCAUUAUGCAAAACCCUAACGUAAUUGAGAACUCGUCCCCGAGCAUUUUAAUAUGAAAUUUUCAUCAGUUAUUGAAAUGUAGACAAAUGGAUUAAUAAUAAAUCAAAAUUAGGGCAUUGCGAAUAUUCGAACAAGAGAUCUUAGAAGAUCACCAUACGCGAGGCGGACUUGGAACUCACCAUAGGCGAGCCAUUCUCCGUCCAUCCUUGAAGAGCAUUACAGCCUUCUCGUUCGUGACGCUCCGGCAUGACCCCGCAGUAUAUGCAGAACCGGCUCUUAGGGUUCUCAGCGAUGAUGAUCAUCACGAAUGACAAAAGUGGCUUCUCGGUAGGCUUUAUCUUCGGCCCCGAGAGCACGACAUCCAGAUCCUCUUUCUCACCGGCGGGGGCUUCUUUCUUAGGAGCAGAAGUUUCCUCCCAGAGAACAUUUUGAACUCUUCUCGCCGCCGGGAAGCAUGAAUACUUG